rnacentral:rRNA from 1 species
AUUGAACGCUGGCGGCAGGCCUAACACAUGCAAGUCGAGCGGAUGAAGGGAGCUUGCUCCUGGAUUCAGCGGCGGACGGGUGAGUAAUGCCUAGGAAUCUGCCUGGUAGUGGGGGAUAACGUCCGGAAACGGGCGCUAAUACCGCAUACGUCCUGAGGGAGAAAGUGGGGGAUCUUCGGACCUCACGCUAUCAGAUGAGCCUAGGUCGGAUUAGCUAGUUGGUGGGGUAAAGGCCUACCAAGGCGACGAUCCGUAACUGGUCUGAGAGGAUGAUCAGUCACACUGGAACUGAGACACGGUCCAGACUCCUACGGGAGGCAGCAGUGGGGAAUAUUGGACAAUGGGCGAAAGCCUGAUCCAGCCAUGCCGCGUGUGUGAAGAAGGUCUUCGGAUUGUAAAGCACUUUUAGUGGGGAGGAAGAGCAGUAAGUUAAUACCUUGCUGUGUUGACGUUACCAGCAGAAUAAGCACCGGCUAACUACGUG